rnacentral:rRNA from 1 species
UACAGAGGGUGCAAGCGUUGUUCGGAAUUACUGGGCGUAAAGCGUGCGCAGGCGGUUUUGUAAGCCAGAUGUGAAAUCCCCGGGCUUAACCUGGGAAUGGCAUUUGGGACUGCAAGGCUUGAGUGCGGCAGAGGAGACUGGAAUUCCUGGUGUAGCAGUGAAAUGCGUAGAUAUCAGGAGGAACACCGAUGGCGAAGGCAGGUCUCUGGGCUGACACUGACGCUCAUGCACGAAAGCGUGGGGAGCAAACGAGGAUAGAGUA